CGAAAAAAACAGUUUGAUGUUCUGUAUGUCAGUACAGCUUCUAUUAAUUCAGGUCAUGUCAAGAGGUGUGGUCGGGAUAUUAUACAACAUUGCUUAUGCAGAUAUACUGCUAAUACAUCCGCUUUGGUUGAAGAUAUAGACAUAACAUUACUAUAUGCUAUCAUUUACCAUUGCUGUCCACCACCCUCACAACAGUUAUCAUGGCUGAAAGAUCUAAAGAAAGUGCGCAAUUUAUUAGUCCAUCUUGGCAAUGGUCAAAUAGAAGAAACAAACUACAAGAUACAAUGGAAAAUUUUGGAGAUAGCAUGUUUAGGCUUAGCUGGUGUUAUAGGAAACUCAUUUGUGCGGGUGUUUCAACGAGAAAUAGAAAGACUCACUGAUUGUUCUAUUGAUGCAUUAAAGGACAUAAUCAAGAAAUCAAAAGAAAAUCUUUCAGAGUUGCAUCACGUUCUAAAUGGAGUAAAACCAUUGCAGACUGUUAUUAACGAGUCAACGGGAGUUAUCAAAGCGAUAUCAGUUCAGCAGAAGGAACAUACCGACACAUUGAUAGCACAAGGAGAAGAUAUGAAAGACAUCAAGUCAAAAUUAGAUUUCCUUUUAUAUGCUCAAUUUGGAGAAUUAAAAACAGUUUCUGAAGUAAAGCGACAAGAAGGGGACUCCAAAGAGACAACAAGUUUAACAGGCGAGAACACUUCUUCAGAACAUGACAUUUUAAUUAGACUCGAAACACCAUUGUCUUGGAAUAAAGAAAAAAUAGAACAGAAGCUGAAAGAGAAACUUAAACAAGAUAAUUCCUGUUCGGAAGAUGAGUUACAUUUGAUUAAGUUUAAAUUCAAAUGUUUGAUAUUAACAACUAGAGCAUCGACGAAACUGAUUAAUGACAAACCUGCCUUAGUUGAAGCAAUUGGGAAAUUCCUAAAGGAUAUAUUUGAGGACUGUGAAAUAGACACCCGUGUACCAGAAACAUUGUAUAUAACAAUAGAUAUAUACUGUCCAAUUAUAUCAGCAAUAAAAACGGAAAAGAAUGAAACAGAUUCAGAAAUUCUUUCUGCACAUUCAACAAGGAAGCAAGAAGAUUCAACAAAAGACGUGAACAAGUUACAAAAAGAUGAAGCAGUUCUGAACGACAUUGCAAAUACACAACAAAAGAUUAAUUCAAUGAAUAUUACCGACCCAAGAGAGACUACCAAAGGAAAGAACAAAUUACGGGGUACUAUGAAAAUGGCCACAGAAUGAUUAUUAUGUGACUUGUAAAUAUUGUUCUCAAACAUUUUUAUGUGAAAAAUGCAUGGCAAGAGGAACGAGAACUGCUUCAUUAGAGGCUAAGCUAAACAAAAUAUUCAGCAUUAUUAAAGACACUCUCAGCAAUGCAGUAACCAGAGCAUAUUUGAAUGUAUACUCAUCUCAGCAAAAGAUUGAUGAAACAAUUUUACGGUCUGGUUACAUAUCUUUAGCAGAUCUACAGAAAUACGAAAAUAUGAGGCGGGAAGAACAAUGGAUGCAUGUAAUAAACAAUUUAACUGAUGCCAUUAUACAGGUCGUUGAAUUUGCAAAGCAGAUUCCAGAGUUUGGUGGCUUCAGUGACUCUGAUAAAAUUAUCCUACUUAAAAACGGAGUUUUUGAAGCUUUACUGAUUCUCUGUUCGAAGGUAUAUGACAACACACACAAUAAUGUAGUUUUUGGUGGUUCAUUGAUGUCUCUACGUGCAUUCAAAUCUAUCAACAGAGAAGAACAGGAUUUUUUAAAAGAAGUUUUUGAAUUAGUUCAAAGGUUGAAAUGUCAAUGUCUGAAUGACACAGAAAUGGCAUUAUUGUUAGCGCUCAUAUUAACACAGCCAGAUUUGCAUGGUCUUAUGGAUGCUGAAGGAGUAAAGAAACUACACGCCGCAUUACGGAAUUCUCUUAAAUUUGAAAUCUGCAAAUCACAUUCAAACAAACGUGGAAGCAUGGAUAUACUGUUUGACAUACCAAAAGAACUUCGGAGAUUAAAUACUAAACAUGCAACGCUUCUGUAUAAGUUUUCUCUAUCAGUCCCAAAUAUUCAAUUUCCUGCUGCUUAUAAGGAGGUAUUUAGUACAGCAAAAUUGACAUGAUGUAAGAUGAUUGAAUUGAGACAAAAUGUAACUAUUAUGAUUACACGGUUGAUAGUGCGGUAAAUACAAACAGACCACGCUGUAAAGAUAAUAAGAAAAUACAUUCAAUCAAAAGAAGAACUGGAAUUUUUAAUAGACAAUAUGAAUUCGAAAAAUUUGAACAGAGCGUAAUUGGUGGUUAUUGUAUUGACAUUAACAAACUAUACAAUAUUAAACAGCGCAAACUGUAUAAAUUGGCACACUUCCAAAGAACAUCGAAUGUUAAAAGAAAGUACAGAAAACUGCUAGGUCAAGAAUUCUUGAGGUGACGGAAAUUGUUUCUUUAGAUGCUGCUUUUUAUCUAACUAUGUAAUCGACAAUAAAGAUUCUAAUCCCAUUAAUCGAGGAAUCGAAAAUAUGAUGAAAGCUUUGACAUUUUAUAGAGGACCAGCACGCAAAUAUUUUUUUUAUUUACUUUACAAAAUGUUUCUCAUGAUCAUGCACUUGCUUGCAAACACGAGCUAUUUAGGAUUUUGCUUCACCAAACAAAUAAAAUUAUAAAAUUUA